rnacentral:rRNA from 1 species
CCUACGGGCGGCUGCAGUGGGGAAUAUUGGACAAUGGGGGGAUCCCUGAUCCAGCCAUGCCGCGUGUGUGAAGAAGGCCCUCGGGUUGUAAAGCACUUUCAGUGAGGAAGAACGCCUGGUGGUUAAUACCCAUCAGGAAAGACAUCACUCACAGAAGAAGCACCGGCUAACUCCGUGCCAGCAGCCGCGGUAAUACGGAGGGUGCGAGCGUUAAUCGGAAUUACUGGGCGUAAAGCGCGCGUAGGUGGCUUGAUAAGCCGGUUGUGAAAGCCCCGGGCUCAACCUGGGAACGGCAUCCGGAACUGUCAAGCUAGAGUGCAGGAGAGGAAGGUAGAAUUCCCGGUGUAGCGGUGAAAUGCGUAGAGAUCGGGAGGAAUACCAGUGGCGAAGGCGGCCUUCUGGACUGACACUGACACUGAGGUGCGAAAGCGUGGGUAGCAAACAGGAUUAGAUACCCCAGUAGUC